CCUGUUUUUUUGGACAUGUCCAAUCCGUCUGCUAUGCCUCUUCCACACCCUUUCUCAAAUCUCAUCCUUUUCUUUUUCUCUUUCUUUCUCGUCUGUGCAGAGCUUCAUCUUCUUUCUCCUUAUUCUUCUUCCUCAUCCCCAACCUUCUCUGUCUUCUUAUUCUUCUGUUAUCGCCGGGUUUCAAGUUUUGGUAACAUCAUCACCAUCCUCUUCUCCCUCUUUCGUUAUAUUCGUAUCACACCGAAACAAGAAUGGUGUGCAAAUAAGUUGGAUUUUGAUUUUAGAGUUUCAUCUAUUUUUCUGAUUUCUUCUGAUUUAGUGUUUGUUGUUUCAGAUUUGGUUGUGUUGGCUCACACGGAAGGGGGAAGAUGUGUCGAAAAUUGAAUCAUCGAAAUUUCUUUGGUGAAAAAAACAUUGUCUGUUUGUGGCUUUGGCGGAGUUGGAAAGGGGUAUACAAAAGCAAAGAUGCGAGUUUACGGAUCUCAUGUGAUAGUUAUUGACAAAGAAGUGAGUUUUCUUGUCGGUGUUAUUUAUGUGUUAUUGAUUUAACUUUAUUUCAUAUCUUAUGGAUUUAUUUUUUUUUUCUUUAUCAUGUGUUUGUUUGUAUUUUGUUUUUAUUUUUACGUAUCAGUUCCGACUAUUGUAUUUCAGAUUCUUCUUUGCAUGCAUUCAGAGGUACGCGAGAUGAUGUCGAAUUGUGUGCUUAGGUUGCUCAUAAUGAUGCUCGAGUUUUGUUUGUUUCUAUCUUUCAUCAUGAUUUUUUUUAGAUUCUACUUUUUUUUCCAGGAGGUAGAAGAUAAGUGAAUUUGGGUUCAUGGCUAAACAAAGCGAAAGAUCUGGGUAUUGACAGAGGUUGGUGAUUUUGGUUUGUCGAAAAUUAAACGGAAUACCUUAGUUUCCGGUGCGGUGCGGGGCACUCUACCUUGGAUGGCACCGGAGCUGCUGAAUGGUAGCAGCAGCAAGGUCUCAGAAAAGGUGAAAUUGUUAACAACACACUAAGACCAACAAUUCUGAAUUAUUGUGAUCUUGAAUGGAGGACACUGAUGGAGCAAUGUUGGGCACCAAAUCCAGCAGCUAGGCCAUCUUUCACAUAAAUAGCGAGUCGGUUGCGUAUUAUGUCUUCGACAACUAGCCAGGCCAAAUCACUAGGCCUCAAGGCAUCCAAAUGAUUGAAACAAAUGCAUGGUGGUGUAGUGUUUGUUUCUAUCUUUUGCCAUUAUUAUAGGCAUGAAUGCUUUCUUUUUUUAAUAUGGAAAUUAAUGGUUCAUUGAUUGGUCAUCAUCCAUGAAAGUAUUUGAUGAAUUUUGUAUGUCAAAAGUCCACGGCUGAUUGAAAAGUUAAGGUAACAUUUUUGGUGUUAAGAGUUCCUGACGUGAAACUUUAAUGAUUUGUCACAUGGCUUUCAAAUUUGUUCCAUAUUUUUAUGAUUUUUAGUUGCACUUUGAUUCAUCAAAGAGUGAACAAUAUUUACUUUAAUCUUUAUGUUUUUUCUUAUGCUAUUGAUAUGUGAUUGUUUAAUUGGUAAAUCAUAUGCUUUCUAACGUGAUUAUGAAUCUGAGGCUGAUAUUUUCAUGUUGUUAGGUCGUUGAAAAUCAAGCCAAUAGAGAGAUUUAAAGUGAUGAAGAUCUCAUGAAUUAAUUGUUGAUUGUUUUUCAGGCCUAAAAGAAAAGUGGUUCUAUUGACAAAGAUUGCGGCAGCUGGAAAGGUCAAUGAGACUGGGGAGGAACGAACAUAUGCGAGAAAGAGGCAGCCUGCAAUUUCUUUAUAGCUUAACUUCAUUAAAUAGUAAACUUUAUAUUUAUCUACUGAUAGAAAUCCUUAUAACAACACUGAUUUUACAGUGGAGAGGUACAAGCUGUCAAAGGAAUUCAUAAAUCUUUGAGUGUUGGCGUAGUUGUGUCGGGUCCAUCAAAUAAAAUAUUGGUCUUGAGUGCUACAACACGAAUCAAAAUCUUAUGAAAAUGAGAUACAGCAGGUUGUUUCAAUUUGAUUUCUUUUGAAAGUGGUAUUGUUUUAUUAAGUUUGGUUAUGUUGAGCUGAAACGUAAAGGUGUUAUGAUGCAACUCAUUUGUGGGAUACUCUGAUAUGGAUACUUUGAUUAUACACUCUGUUUGGCACAUCAGUCAGGUUUCACUCUUCGAUCUCCUAUUGAUUUUGAAUGGUGGUUACUCUCUCAUAUUUAUUCUACUUCUCCUUACUUGUGUUUCCGUAGUAUAGUUUGAUUCUGUUGUGUUGAUGUCGAUGAUGUGAAGUUUUGCAUCGUAACUUCAGUCUGCAGGUUGUGUUGCGGAGGAGUUUGUCUAAGAACAUUUUGGAACUGAGGCUUGACUGAGAAAUCUGAAAUGGUAAUGAUUGUUUGAGAAUUUUUAUGGGUUGAGCGAGGACCGAGUGGCUUUGAGUGAGGUGGCUUAAAGUCCCUAUUUUCCAGGCUUUCAACUUGUGAACCGUGUAUGAGAGAACUCAUGAGUUGAUUGACGACUUCAUCAAUUAAAUCGAGCCUUACUUAUAUGAUUCUUGGAUUCUUAAAGUUUGCUUGAGAAACAUUUUGAAAAUCAUGAUUUCUGCUCAAUUAUGCAAUUUUAAAUUUCUCAUAAUUUGUACUGACUCUAAUUCAACCAUGCUUGAAAUAUGUGAUUUUCUUUUGAGCUUUACUGGUAUGCCUGAAAAAUUGCUUUGAAUGGAUCUGGCAUAUUCAUGUAUUGAUGUCAAUUAGAGGUUAGGGUGGUCUGUUAGGCAUGUGCAUGCUGUUUAUGCGAAUGUUGGGUGCACCUCCGCACAUUGGAGUAAUCUCUCAUGUUGCAUUUAAAAAAAAUUUAUCUAGAAAAGACAUAUAUUUUUUGGUAGUGAGAGUUUAUAUCAUUUUAUGGUUCGUUUGGUUGGAGAGCAAUUCCAUAUUUAAAAAGGCCUUUUUAUUGAUAUUUUAGAGGUAUUUGUUUUUCCUUACUUUGAUAUGGAAUGGGAUUGUGUUUUUGGUUUCUCUUUAAUAUAGUAUAUAUUUAAUAUAAGAAUCCUUCAACAUAGAUAAAAUGGUAAUUUGAAAUUGAAGUUAUUGGAAAAGGUUUGCUUUGAAUUUUGUUUCGGUAGUGUUUUUAUACCUCAACAGAGACACUCAGCAAAAGAAUACUUAGUUCAAUUUUUUUUAGGCUUAUGAGUUUUUAAUUUUGAUAUGCACCCUAAGGUUGGUUUGUUUUGUCGCCAAUAUAUCUCUACAAGCAGUGAGAUAUUUGCUUACUGAUAUUUGGCUACUGAUAUUGUGUUACAAGCAAUGAGAUAUCUCUAUAAUAUAUCUAUGUAUGGAACAUGUAUGGUGCAACCAUGACCUAUGAAGGUUGGCAUAAUUUUGUUGGGAAUGAAAUGAUUGUAAUCUACCUUGUACUGUUUGUCUGUCAUGUUCAUGUACUCAAACAUGUUUGAUGUAAAACUUAAAAAAUAAUAAAUCUGUUAAAUUAUCACAGGUGUACUUUUUAUCAAAGGUAUUUUAUGUAGGAAAGAACCAUUUUUUCUUUCUACUUGCAGAAAAGGUCUCCAACUUGUACUCAGUGUUGUUUCUAUCCUUGGGGUUCAAUUUAUAGUUCUAAAAUGUUUUUUACAAUUUUAGAUUUUAAAAAGAGUAUAAUAUAAGAAAAUUUAUGCUUUUAAAAUGAAAUUUAUAAUAUUUUUUAACUUAGUUUUAGUGUAUAAAAUAAGAUGCUAAAAUAAUAUUAUGUUUUACUAAACUUUUUGUACACGAGAACAUUAAGUUAUUGAUCAAAAUAUUGAUUAUUAACGGGACAUGAAGUUACUGAUCAAAUUGAUUAUUAACGGGACAUGAAGUUACUGAUCAAAAUAUUUUUUAAGGUUGACGGGGACAUGAAAUUAUUGAUCAAACUAAUAUUUGUACACAGAAACAUGAAAUUAUUGAUCAAAAUAUUGAUUAUUAACGGGACAUGUAGUUACUGAUCAAAAUAUUUUUUUAUUAAUUAUAUAUUCAAUUAUUAUUUUUCCACAGA